rnacentral:rRNA from 1 species
UACGUAGGGGGCUAGCGUUGUCCGGAAUCAUUGGGCGUAAAGAGCGUGUAGGCGGCCAGAUAAGUCCGCUGUGAAAUCUCGAGGCUCAACUUCGAGCUGUCGGUGGAAACUGUCUGGCUAGAGUCCGGAAGAGGAGAAUGGAAUUCCUGGUGUAGCGGUGAAAUGCGCAGAUAUCAGGAAGAACACCCGUGGCGAAGGCGGUUCUCUGGGGCGGUACUGACGCUGAGACGCGAAAGCGUGGGGAGCGAACAGG